rnacentral:rRNA from 1 species
CCUACGGGAGGCAGCAGUGGGGAAUUUUGGACAAUGGGCGCAAGCCUGAUCCAGCCAUGCCGCGUGUCUGAAGAAGGCCUUCGGGUUGUAAAGGACUUUUGUCAGGGAAGAAAAGGGCGGGGUUAAUACCCCUGUCUGAUGACGGUACCUGAAGAAUAAGCACCGGCUAACUACGUGCCAGCAGCCGCGGUAAUACGUAGGGUGCAAGCGUUAAUCGGAAUUACUGGGCGUAAAGAGUGCGCAGGCGGUUUUGCAAGACCGAUGUGAAAUCCCCGGGCUUAACCUGGGAACUGCGUUCUGAACUGGGUGGCUAGAGUGUGUCAGAGGGGGGUAGAAUUCCACGUGUAGCAGUGAAAUGCGUAGAGAUGUGGAGGAAUACCGAUGGCGAAGGCAGCCCCCUGGGAUGGCACUGACGUUCAUGCCCGGAAGCGUGGGGAGCAAACAGGAUUAGAUACCCUGGUAGUCCACGCCCUAAACGAUGUCGAUUAGCUGUUGGGCAGCAUGACUGCUUAGUAGCGAAGCUAACGCGUGAAAUCGACCGCCUGGGGAGUACGACCGCAAGGUUGAAACUCAAAGGAAUUGACGG